rnacentral:rRNA from 1 species
UCCAGAGGUGGCAAGCGUUGUUCGGAAUUACUGGGCGUAAAGGGCGCGUAGGCGGCCUACUAAGUCAGACGUGAAAUCCCCCGGCUUAACCUGGGAACUGCGUCUGAUACUGGAAGGCUUGAGUAUGGGAGAGGGAUGUAGAAUUCCAGGUGUAGCGGUGAAAUGCGUAGAUAUCUGGAGGAAUACCGGUGGCGAAGGCGGCAUCCUGGACCAUUACUGACGCUGAGGCGCGAAAGCUAGGGGAGCAAACGGG